rnacentral:rRNA from 1 species
AGCGAACGCUGGCGGCAGGCCCAACACAUGCAAGUCGAACGAACUCUUCGGCCUUAGUGGCGGACGGGUGAGUAACACGUGGGAACGUGCCUUUUGGUUCGCAAUACCUCAGGGCAUCUUGUGCUAAUACCGACUGUGCCCUUCGGGGGGAAGAUUUAUCGCCUUUAGAGCGGCCCGCGUCUGAUUAGCUAGUUGGUGAGGUAAAGGCUCACCAAGGCUACGAUCAGUAGCUGGUCUGAGAGGAUGACCAGCCACAUUGGGACUGAGACACGGCCCAAACUCCUACGGGAGGCAGCGGUGGGGAAUCUUGCGCAAUGGGCGAAAGCCUGACGCAGCCAUGCCGCGUGGAUGAUGAAGGUCAUAGGAUUGUAAAAUCCUUUCACCGGUGAAGAUAUUGACUGUAGCCGGAGAAGAAGCCCCGGCAAACUUCGUGCCAGCCGCCGCCGUAACAC